rnacentral:rRNA from 1 species
UACGUAGGGUGCAAGCGUUGUCCGGAAUUAUUGGGCGUAAAGAGCUCGUAGGCGGUUUGUCGCGUCUGCUGUGAAAACUCGGGGCUCAACUCCGAGCUUGCAGUCGAUACGGGCAGGCUAGAGUUCGGCAGGGGAGACUGGAAUUCCUGGUGUAGCGGUGAAAUGCGCAGAUAUCAGGAGGAACACCGGUGGCGAAGGCGGGUCUCUGGGCCGAUACUGACACUGAGGAGCGAAAGCGUGGGGAGCGAACAGG